CUUGUUCUUUUCUAAUAAUUGUGUAAAUAUUUUUAAUCAUAGGCCUACAAUGAUGACGUAUGGGGAAAGGUGGAUAAUGUAAAGAUUUCUUAAUUCCAGCAGUGCGUAUUCAUGGUUAUAUUAGGCCUUAGGAAAAUUUUUCAUGCAUUUGUUAAUAACUACAAUCUUCUUAAUAGAAACCUUUUGGUUUUAGGUUUAGAAUUUUAGAGAAAAUUUAUAAACGGGUGUUAUUACAUUCGUAUUUUUACGAGGAGUAUAUACUAUGUUGGAACAGAUUUUGAACGUUCUUCAUCUUUGAGGAAGGGCAAGGCGCUUGUGGACUAACUACGUUUGGAUUCGUUGGUUGAGAUAGUGUUCUAGGCUCAGACAUGACCUGACCUCUAGAGUUUGAUUGCAGAUCUUGAUCCAAGGAUUUUGAACGUUCUUCAUCUUUGAGGAAGGGCAAGGCGCUUGUGGACUAACUACGUUUGGAUUCGUUGGUUGAGGUAGUGUUCUAGGCUCAGACAUGACCUCACCUCAAGAGUUUGAUAGCAGAUCUUGAUCCAAGGAUUUGGAGAUUGAAGGUCUAGAAAAGGACAUUCUUUUAUUUUAAGAUGCCUGAUUAAAGGAUUGUGAUCUUAGAAAUUUUAAAUCUAUAGAUCCAUCUGGAUAAUGUACUACUUGUUCAAUAUUUGAAUUUUCUUCUUCUAUAUCUGGCUCAGUUAUGGAGUCGAAAUGCCAAUUAUCUUUUAUUGAUACAUCAUCUCUUUUUAUCAUUUUCGAAACAAAGGUAUUAUUGUGAUUGUGAUUAGCUUCCAUAAGAAUGGUAGCUCCUUUAUUACUAACUAUUUUA